UGAAUAUGGAGUGUUUCUAGCAUGUACACGUAGGCUAAUAUAUUUAACCAAUCAAGACAUUCCAAUAAUACACGCUGGCAAAAGACACGAGGCUCUUGAUUUCGUAUGGGCUCUGCUGUGUUUCGAUGGGCUUCGUCGGUUAGCAUUGGGCUUUGCUACCCGGUUCAAUUAAAAAAAAAAAAUUCAACCCAAGACGGAUAACACGAGGCUCUACGCUUCUCGCUCUUCGUCUUCACCGUUUCUUCACCAUCGUUUCAGUUCUCUCGAGCCAGAACUCCACAAUCAAUACUCCACUACAUCUCGAUUCAAUCGAGUUACCUCCGACGCUAACUGACCUGGAUCUCACGGUGAACCGUUUAUCAGAACUGGACUCGAGGAUCGCUCACCUCUCUAUGCUCAAGAAGCUUUCUCUUCGCCAAAACCUAAUCGAAGACUCCGCCGUCGAGCCUUUCUCUCGCUGGGACGCCUUGUCCGAUCUCGAGGUGAUUAUUAUCAUCCACUCUCUGAUUCUGCGAAUUUCACAAAUAUGAUCUCUCGAGGCCUUACGAUUGAUAGUCAUUUGUAUAUGUAGGAGCUGAUUCUCAGAGAUAACAAGCUAGCGGAAGUACCAGAUAUAAGCAUAUUCUCAAGGCUUUUGGUCUUUGACGUAUCUUUCAAUGAAAUCACUUCGUUGGAAGGAUUAUCAAAGGCCUCUAGCACGUUGAAGGAGCUCUAUGUGUCUAAGAAUGAAGUUAACAAGAUUAUGGAGAUUGAACACUUGCACGACUUGCAGAUUCUUGAGCUAGGGUCCAAUAGAUUGUGGGUUUCGAUUUGUCCUGAUUACUUUACAAUGUUUUAGCAAUGAAUAUGAAAGCAUUGAGGUUUAUUCAGGUGAUUGUGAAUAUGGAGAGCUUGACAAAGUUAGAAGAGCUGUGGCUGGGAAGAAACCGUAUCAAAGUUGUGAAUUUGUGUGGGCUCAGAUGUAUUAAAAAGAUUAGCUUGCAGAGCAAUCAAUUGACCUCUAUGAAAGGAUUUGAGGACUGUGUUGCUCUUGAAGAGUUGUAUCUGAGCCAUAAUGGUAUCUCAAAAAUGGAAGGCUUGAGUGCGUUGGUUAACCUACGGGUAUUAGACGUGUCGAACAACAAGCUCACAUCAGUUGAUGACAUUCAGAGCCUCACAAAGUAUUUCACUUUUCCUUUUCUUCAGGACUGACUUUUUUAUUUUGGUGAUUUUUUGUUUGUUUACGUUCUGACUUUUCCUUUACCUGUAGGUUGGAAGAUUUAUGGCUUAAUGACAACUAGAUAGAAAUACUUGAAGCUAUCACAUAAGCUGUUGAAGGCUCUAAAGCUAACAACUUUCCCGGAUUCUCCAUGUAGUUAGUCAUUAAAACCCUUUUAUUAACUUAUUUUUUUCUAACAAUAUAAUAUGACUUCCGACAAUUUGACUAAUCACUGUAUAGAAAAUGGAUGCUAAUGUAACUGCAAACUGUGUUCAUCCUGGAAUCGUGAGAACGUGUCUCACAAGAGACCGAGACGGCCUCAUCACUGAUUUUGUCUUUUUCUUGACCUCUAAGCUUUUGAAGUCCGUUCAUCAGGUAUCUAAGUCAAAUCAAUAUUGAUCGAUUUUCAUUUAUAAAUCAUAUAUUUAGAAUUAUCCAAACUAACGUACGACAUCAUAAAAAUAGCUUACUGAUCUCUGUUAAUUAUUUAUAGGCAGCAGCAACGACAUGCUGCCUAGCAACGAGUCCGAGAUUGAGGAACGUGUGCGGCAAAUACUUUUCAGACUGUAAUGAAGCUCGGACUUCUAAUCCGGAUCGUGCAAUCUUAAAGCUCAGAGACUGUGGACUGCUUCUGAGUUGUUGGUCACUCCAGCUUCCACUCCCGAUGUUUAUCAAACCUUUAACUACUUUUUAACCAACGAUGCUAUGUAUGUGUAAAGCCUUUCCAAGCUUCUUGGUUGUGAAAUGUUUUAGAUCAUUUGGAGGAGUAAUAAAGUUUAUAUGUUAUCACUAA